AAGCAGAGAAGAGAAAAGAAGAUAGAAGAAGAGCACAUAGUGCCCCGGGGAGCAUGCCAAAAGAAUCUGUCCGUAAGAGAAGAAUUAUUAAAGAAAUUGAAUGAGUAUCUUUGUUACUUUGCAGUAGGCUACCAGCGGCAGGGAGUCCUUGAUGUGAGUAGACCUUGUAAGAUCUUCCGCAAGACCUUGUAAGAUCUACUGGGUAAGCUGGGCUUUAAUGUGCAACGGGGCAUUCAAAUUUUGGUUGAUUAGCAAGCAGCUUGAAAACAAGGU
rnacentral:lncRNA from 1 species